GAAACCCAAAGCUCCGACGAGCUCGCCGCCUCGUUUUCUCCGACGCACCACCUGUUCCUCGACACCGUCUUUAUGGGAGACGUAUGCGUUCUCCGAUCCUUGCUUCUCUUCUCUUUUUGAACACUUCCUCUCUUCGAUUCUCUGUGAACAGACAAGAUCCCAACAUCACCGCCGCUUGUCUUCACCGGUGUUAGCUUCCACCGCCUCCACCAUUAAAAUCUCAGCUCGUCCCUUGAUGAAUUCAGCUUGACUUCUGUGAUUCUCCGGUGACAAAGUUCCUCUUGCACACCAACCUCACAACAUAACCGAACCAGACUUGUCAAAGCUCAAAGCUCAUGGUGUCGACGUCUCUUCACCACCGUUGCUUCCUUUAGCUUUGUUGUAGACGUUUCCUCGCUGCAACCAUACGACUUCAGGCAAUCUUCUGAACUCAUCUUUUACCAAGCUUUAUAAAUUCCUGUCAAACCAUCAGUUUGCUUUUCCUGAAACUGAUUCCUUCUUUUGUGGCCUUUCCGCGAGGUGAACAACUCGACAGCCUUGUCACCUGCAGCCACAUGAGACCUACUAAGGCAGAACCUUGAGGAUCUCCAAGCAUUUCUCGAACUUCUGUCCAGGUACACACUUAGUUAGGAAAACCUCCGGAUUGAUAGAUGUGUGAAUCUUAUAAACCGUAACGUCACCAGCCUCAGUUACGUCUCUCAUAAAGUGUAGUCUAGUAUCUAUAUGCUUAGUCCUUUCAUGGAAUCCUCCAUUCUUAGCUAAGUGUAUAUCACUUUGAGAAUCAGGCAACACUCUCACAUCGUCUUGCUCAAAUCCAAUUUGCUAACAAACCUUUUAGCCAUAGUGCUUCUUUAAAAGCUUCGGCUAAGGCCAUAUAUUCUGAUUCUGUCGUUGAUAGUGCGACAAUAUGUUGGAGACCUGAUCUCUAUAGCUUAUUAUGUUGCCUCCGAGUUGAAACACAUAUCCUGUAACAGAUCUUCUUCUAUCCAAAUCGGUUGCAUAGUGUGCGUCACAUAACCCUCGUACUUUGAAAUCUUCUCCUUUAGUAAACAAUAGGUCUGAAUCUAGAGCUCCUCGUAGGUAUCUCAUCACCCACUUAACAACUUCCCAGUGUUGUCUUCCUUGCUUGCUCAUGUAACGUCUGAUCAAGCCCACUGUGAAACAUAAUUUCGGUCUAGAUCCCACCAUUGCGUACAUCAAGCUUCCAACCGCUGAUGCGUGUGGUACUUUCCUUAUGAUACUCGCUUACAUGUCUUCUUCUUCUUGUGUCAAACUUUUAAGUUUAAAUUGUGGUCCGACAGGAGUAACCACUGCUCUGCUCUUUGCCAUGUUAAAAGUUUCCAGAACCUUCUAUAAAUACUUUCUUUGCGAUAGCUUUAGAGUUCAUUUCUUCAUGUCUUUAAUAAUAUCCAUCCCAAGUAUUCUUGAAGCUGCUCGAAGGUUCUUCAUCUCAAACUCUUUCUUCACGCUAUCUUUGAUUCUCUUAAUUUCUUUAG